rnacentral:rRNA from 1 species
UGGGGAAUAUUGCGCAAUGGGGGGAACCCUGACGCAGCCAUGCCGCGUGAAUGAAGAAGGCCUUCGGGUUGUAAAGUUCUUUCGGUAUUGAGGAAGGUUGAUGUGUUAAUAGCACAUCAAAUUGACGUUAAAUACAGAAGAAGCACCGGCUAACUACGUGCCAGCAGCCGCGGUAAUACGUAGGUCCCGAGCGUUAUCCGGAUUUAUUGGGCGUAAAGCGAGCGCAGGCGGUUAGAUAAGUCUGAAGUUAAAGGCUGUGGCUUAACCAUAGUACGCUUUGGAAACUGUUUAACUUGAGUGCAGAAGGGGAGAGUGGAAUUCCAUGUGUAGCGGUGAAAUGCGUAGAUAUAUGGAGGAACACCGGUGGCGAAAGCGGCUCUCUGGUCUGUAACUGACGCUGAGGCUCGAAAGCGUGGGGAGCAAACAGGAUUAGAUACCCUGGUAGUCCACGCCGUAAACGAUGAGUGCUAGGUGUUGGGUCCUUUCCGGGACUCAGUGCCGCAGCUAACGCAUUAAGCACUCCGCCUGGGGAGUACGACCGCAAGGUUG